rnacentral:rRNA from 1 species
GACAGCCAGGAUGUUGGCUUAGAAGCAGCCAUCAUUUAAAGAAAGCGUAAUAGCUCACUGGUCGAGUCGGCCUGCGCGGAAGAUGUAACGGGGCUAAACCAUGCACCGAAGCUGCGGCAGCGACGCUUAUGCGUUGUUGGGUAGGGGAGCGUUCUGUAAGCCUGCGAAGGUGUGCUGUGAGGCAUGCUGGAGGUAUCAGAAGUGCGAAUGCUGACAUAAGUAACGAUAAAGCGGGUGAAAAGCCCGCUCGCCGGAAGACCAAGGGUUCCUGUCCAACGUUAAUCGGGGCAGGGUGAGUCGACCCCUAAGGCGAGGCCGAAAGGCGUAGUCGAUGGGAAACAGGUUAAUAUUCCUGUACUUGGUGUUACUGCGAAGGGGGGACGGAGAAGGCUAUGUUGGCCGGGCGACGGUUGUCCCGGUUUAAGCGUGUAGGCUGGUUUUCCAGGCAAAUCCGGAAAAUCAAGGCUGAGGCGUGAUGACGAGGCACUACGGUGCUGAAGCAACAAAUGCCCUGCUUCCAGGAAAAGCCUCUAAGCAUCAGGUAACAUCAAAUCGUACCCCAAACCGACACAGGUGGUCAGGUAGAGAAUACCAAGGCGCUUGAGAGAACUCGGGUGAAGGAACUAGGCAAAAUGGUGCCGUAACUUCGGGAGAAGGCACGCUGAUAUGUAGGUGAAGUCCCUCGCGGAUGGAGCUGAAAUCAGUCGAAGAUACCAGCUGGCUGCAACUGUUUAUUAAAAACACAGCACUGUGCAAACACGAAAGUGGACGUAUACGGUGUGACGCCUGCCCGGUGCCGGAAGGUUAAUUGAUGGGGU